rnacentral:rRNA from 1 species
GGGUGCUCGAAAGAGAACCUGGACACAGGUGCUGCAUGGCUGUCGUCAGCUCGUGUCGUGAGAUGUUGGGUUAAGUCCCGCAACGAGCGCAACCCUUGUCAUUAGUUGCCAUCAUUCAGUUGGGCACUCUAAUGAGACUGCCGGUGACAAACCGGAGGAAGGUGGGGAUGACGUCAAGUCCUCAUGGCCCUUAUGGGUAGGGCUUCACACGUCAUACAAUGGCCGGUACAGAGGGUUGCCAAGCCGCGAGGCGGAGCCAAUCCCAGAAAGCCGGUCGUAGUCCGGAUUGCAGUCUGCAACUCGACUGCAUGAAGUCGGAAUCGCUAGUAAUCGCGGAUCAGCAUGUCGCGGUGAAUACGUUCCCGGGUCUU